UACGUAGGGGGCUAGCGUUGUCCGGAUUUAUUGGGCGUAAAGAGCGCGUAGGCGGCCGAGUAAGUCCGACGUGAAAUCUGGAGGCUCAACCUCCAGCGGUCGUUGGAAACUACUCGGCUAGAGUCCGGAAGAGGAGAGUGGAAUUCCUGGUGUAGCGGUGAAAUGCGCAGAUAUCAGGAAGAACACCGAUGGCGAAGGCAGCUCUCUGGGACGGUACUGACGCUGAGGCGCGAAAGCGUGGGGAGCGAACAGG
rnacentral:rRNA from 1 species